rnacentral:rRNA from 1 species
UGGGGAAUAUUGCACAAUGGAGGGAACUCUGAUGCAGCGACGCCGCGUGAGUGAUGAAGGAAUUCGUUUCGUAAAACUCUGUUCUAUGGGAAGAAAAGGACUGUACCAUAGGAGAAAGCUCCGGCUAAAUACGUGCCAGCAGCCGCGGUAAUACGUAUGGAGCGAGCGUUGUCCGGAAUUAUUGGGCGUAAAGGGUGCGCAGGCGGCUUUACAAGUUGGAUGUGAAAUAUUGUGGCUCAACCACAAACGUGCAUCCAAAACUGCAAAGCUUGAGUUAAGGAGAGGUAAGUGGAAUUCCUGGUGUAGCGGUGGCAUGCGUAGAUAUCAGGAGGAAUACCGGUGGCGAAGGCGACUUACUGGACUUAAACUGACGCUCAGGCACGAAAGCGUGGGGAGCAAACAGG